UAUAAUCAACCUCAUCAUCACGUGUGUGCUGUGUUCACAUUAUCAUGGUUAUCAUCCAAAAGGAAAUCAAGCAAAGCAAUCAGAACAACUUCAUGAUUUGGAAUGAGAGAGAAAAAGACAUCAAUGAGAUCAUCUUGGAGAGAGACACAAACAUACUUUGCUUGUUUUUUUAUUAUCGCUGCAAAGCAUAAAAUAAUCACAGGAGACUUUGAAACAAAUGUAGCUUUUAUGUGUUGACAAAUGUAUUGAGUGGAGAGACGGUGACUUUUUUUUUUUUUUGUCUGUGCAAAUUAUUGCAAGAGGCAAUUCAGGUGCAACACUACCAAGGAGUAUCAGGGCCACACUGGAAAGGAAAAACCAUCAAAUACAGCAAAAAUAAAGGUGUAAAAUUGGAUGAAAAGCAAAUGAACUGUGUGUACAAAAUAAAGUCACGUAAAAAUUGGCACGUUUUAUUUUUGUGGCCAAAAGA